rnacentral:rRNA from 1 species
ACGCUGGCGGCGCGCCUAACACAUGCAAGUCGAACGAGCGAGAGAGAGCUUGCUUUCUCGAGCGAGUGGCGAACGGGUGAGUAACGCGUGAGGAACCUGCCUCAAAGAGGGGGGACAACAGUUGGAAACGGCUGCUAAUACCGCAUAAGCGCACAGUACCGCAUGGUACAGUGUGAAAAACUCCGGUGGUGUGAGAUGGACCCGCGUCUGAUUAGCUAGUUGGCAGGGCAACGGCCUACCAAGGCGACGAUCAGUAGCCGACCUGAGAGGGUGACCGGCCACAUUGGGACUGAGACACGGCCCAAACUCCUACGGGAGGCAGCAGUGGGGAAUAUUGCACAAUGGGCGAAAGCCUGAUGCAGCAACGCCGCGUGAGUGAAGAAGUAUCUCGGUAUGUAAAGCUCUAUCAGCAGGGAAGAAAUGACGGUACCUGACUAAGAAGCCCCGGCUAACUACGUG